ACAUUUGAUGAAGAACAGACCAAUUAAUUUACACUUCUCCCUUGAUUAGAUGUUUCUCUUUAUAUUGUAUACAACGUGUGUGUGUGCGCGCGCGCGAGUGUUUGGGUACAUGUAGGCCUACCCAUAAAAUAGCAUCACCCCUUAAUUAUGUAUGUCCUAUUCAAGUAGGUUAAUCCAGUCAAUUGCUUGGAAAGGAUGAUUGGCGGACGGUGAUUGGUGGAACCCCAACUUGGAAUUCGAAUGACCUCCCUACCAGUUUUCGGAUGCACGAGCUCCAUUAACAGGCCCCUGAAUGAACAGGAAUUCGCAACAAUGGGGCUAGGACACAGCUGAAUGAGCAUCACCCUCUGUGAGCCUCUCGAAUACACAGGACCACUGACGCGACGCACAAUGCUUCCUUUUCAAACUCGAGCUCUACUGCUUACCACGUGGAAAGAAGCUCUAUGACCUGAGUGACAUCCACCCUGUUCUUGACAUUGAGGAUGUGGUAUCUGUUGUCACACUUCCUGAGGAGCCACUGGAGGGCUCUCCCAUCACUCUCAAUGAACUGCUGUAUACCUGCAGCAAUGACUAGAAGGAUGGCAUGGGGUCGAGGGGGACACAAAGACAAGCCCUUCACGGUAAGGCCUACCAUGUUCAGGUGUUCCUCCACAGCUCCCCUGCUCUUAUCUUCCAGUAUUGAGUCCAAAUCAAUGAACAGGAGGAAGGCAUGGGGGCCUGGGGGAUUCAGAGACACACUGCACUAUCGCUGUCAUCACCAGUUCCAGGACUUCCACGGAGAGAAGGUCUUCCACCAUCCUAGAGUUUCRACAACGUGAGCUCGGCUGAAUACCUGAGGGUAUCCAAUUGGCUGACAGAGGGGAAGUCUGGAAAUGCUGAAGAUGUUUCGGGAUAUAGGACGAGUGAAUAUAAGUCCAGUGAGUCAUGUGGGUCCAGUGAAGCGGAGAGCUGGGACAACAAGUUAUAUUUUAGAAAGGGAAAAAUACACUUUAAAUCUUUAAAGUGAACCCUUUUAUCCACACGACCACACUAUGUCAAUUUAUUUAGCUAGUUUGACGAAAACCGAAGCUGACUUUAUAAUGUAGGCCUAUUUUUUUUUUUUAUUGUGAAAUUUACUAAUGUUGAAAACAUUAAUGAAAUCAAGUAACAUUUUACAGAGGAAACAUCAGCUUUAGAAAUAUUGAACGUGAAACCUGUUAUCGAUAUGGUCAUACUGUACGUACCAUACCACCAAAAACUGACUUUAUGUCAUGUAUUUUAUUCUGAAAUUGCAUAAUGUUCUUUCUACAUGUACAGUCUUACCAUGAUUUUCUGUGUACUUCGUUUGGUGAACAUCAUAGAGACAUUGUAACACAAGUAAAGGACUUUGUAGAUCUGUUUAGCUAGCAUAUAGGUAGGUUCCAUGUGACAUUGUAUUCUAACAUUUCUGAUAAAUACUCUAAUAACAAUGUGACAGUAAAUGUAAUUGUUUUUGUGAUACAAUAUAAAUGUCAAUAUUUCUGCAAAUAUGAAAUGUUUUUUUCUCUGCAUAAGUUGGUGCAGUGCU